CCUACGGGCGGCUGCAGUGGGGAAUAUUGGACAAUGGGGGGAACCCUGAUCCAGCCAUGCCGCGUGUGUGAAGAAGGCCCUCGGGUUGUAAAGCACUUUCAGUGAGGAAGAACGCCUGGUGGUUAAUACCCAUCAGGAAAGACAUCACUCACAGAAGAAGCACCGGCUACCUCCGUGCCAGCAGCCGCGGUAAUACGGAGGGUGCGAGCGUUAAUCGGAAUUACUGGGCGUAAAGCGCGCGUAGGUGGCUUGAUAAGCCGGUUGUGAAAGCCCCGGGCUCAACCUGGGAACGGCAUCCGGAACUGUCAAGCUAGAGUGCAGGAGAGGAAGGUAGAAUUCCCGGUGUAGCGGUGAAAUGCGUAGAGAUCGGGAGGAAUACCAGUGGCGAAGGCGGCCUUCUGGACUGACACUGACACGGAGGUGCGAAAGCGUGGGUAGCAAACAGGAUUAGAUACCCUUGUAGUC
rnacentral:rRNA from 1 species